AAUCUUAGUGGAGUUUAUCAAUCUCUAAAAACCAUUCUAAUUAAGAAGCCCCACUACGCCAAAUCCUCUUCUCCACGUCGUUCCUUCAUCUAUUUUUUAGACGCCGCUUGCCGGCGGACGCCUCCCCUCUCUCUCCACUUCUCUUUUCGUCGCCUCGUCCAUUUGUUUUCCGGCGAGCCGCUGUCACAUCUCCAGCCCGACGCACCCCUCAUCUCUCGGUUGGACUGACAUCAACAGAGAGCCAACACCACCACGACGGACAGCUGCGCCACUCAGCCGCCGCCACCCCUGCUUCUCCGUCGAGAAUGCCGCCUGUCGCCAUUCCCCCAUCUUCCCAUCUCAACAUCAUAUGCUCAUAAACUAAACUCAAAACAUACACCCACCCCAUCAUAUUCUCUCAUUUCUGUACACAUAUAUAUACAUUAUAGCAUUUGAUUUCUUAUGAAAUAUUUUAGAUUAUGAGCAUGUAUAAUGUGUUCUUUCAUUCGAGUGCAUACAGAAUUGGCUUGAUAGUCAUUGUGAUUAUGGUUUGAAAUAUAAGUUUCUUUCUUUCCUGCUGCUCGCUUCUUAUUUUCUCUUCAUGUAGGCAAUAUUUUACAAUUAUACUGGGGAUCUUCCAAAAGCUCUACUUCAUUUUCUUGAAUGUGGAAUCUGGCAUAAAGCACACUCUGUUUUCUUAACUUCAGCACCUUCUCUGUUUUUGUCAGGAAUAAUUGAAGCAGAUGUCAAGAUGCACCUUAACCAAUACGCUGGAUUACUUUUCGUCAACAAAGCUUCGUAGAAAAUUAGAAUAGUUUGAUUAAUUGUGCAGUGCUAUUAUGCAAUGCUUUUUGUAGUUGUGACAUAAAUAAUGUGUACUUUGAUAAUUAUUAAUAAAGUAAAUAUUUUUAUAUAA